AGUGAACGCUGGCGGUAGGCCUAACACAUGCAAGUCGAACGGCAGCACAGUAAGAGCUUGCUCUUACGGGUGGCGAGUGGCGGACGGGUGAGGAAUACAUCGGAAUCUACUUUUUCGUGGGGGAUAACGUAGGGAAACUUACGCUAAUACCGCAUACGACCUACGGGUGAAAGCAGGGGAUCUUCGGACCUUGCGCGAUUGAAUGAGCCGAUGUCGGAUUAGCUAGUUGGCGGGGUAAAGGCCCACCAAGGCGACGAUCCGUAGCUGGUCUGAGGGGAUGAUCCGCUAGCCUGGCACUGAGGCAAGGACCAGACUCCUACGCGAGGCAACAGUGGGGAAUAUUGGACAAUGAGCGAAAGCCUAAUCCAGCCAUACCGCGUGGGUCAAGAUGGCCUUCUGGUUCUAGAGACAUUAUGUUGGGAAAGAAGAGAAGCACGUUGAUACCCCGCUGUUCUGACGGUACCCAAAGAAUAAGCACCGGCUAACUUCGUG
rnacentral:rRNA from 1 species